CAGCUCUGCUUUCUCUUCAAAUUGUAUAAAUCUUUCAUCUCUUACUAAAGAUUUCGGUGGAGAGGAACAUUUAUGAGUUUCUGCG
rnacentral:snRNA from 1 species